rnacentral:rRNA from 1 species
UAGCUUGCUAAUCUGCUGACGAGUGGCGGACGGGUGAGUAAUGCUUGGGAAUCUGGCUUAUGGAGGGGGAUAACUACGGGAAACUGUAGCUAAUACCGCGUAAUAUCGAGAGAUUAAAGGGUGGGACUUUCGGGCCACCUGCCAUAAGAUGAGCCCAAGUGGGAUUAGGUAGUUGGUUAGGUAAAGGCUGACCAAGCCGACGAUCUCUAGCUGGUCUGAGAGGAUGACCAGCCACACUGGAACUGAGACACGGUCCAGACUCCUACGGGAGGCAGCAGUGGGGAAUAUUGCACAAUGGGGGGAACCCUGAUGCAGCCAUGCCGCGUGAAUGAAGAAGGCCUUCGGGUUGUAAAGUUCUUUCGGUAGCGAGGAAGGCGUAGUAUUUAAUAGAUACUGCGAUUGACGUUAACUACAGAAGAAGCACCGGCUAACUCCGUGCCAGCAGCCGCGGUAAUACGGGGGGUGCGAGCGUUAAUCGGAAUAACUGGGCGUAAAGGGCACGCAGGCGGUGACUUAAGUGAGAUGUGAAAGCCCCGAGCUUAACUUGGGAAUUGCAUUUCAUACUGGGUCGCUAGAGUACUUUAGGGAGGGGUAGAAUUCCACGUGUAGCGGUGAAAUGCGUAGAGAUGUGGAGGAAUACCGAAGGCGAAGGCAGCCCCUUGGGAAUGUACUGACGCUCAUGUGCGAAAGCGUGGGGAGCAAACAGGAUUAGAUACCCUGGUAGUCCACGCUGUAAACGAUGUCGAUUUGGGGGGUUGGGCUUUAAGCUUGGCGCCCGUAGCUAACGUGAUAAAUCGACCGCCUGGGGAGUACGGCCGCAAGGUUAAAACUCAAAUGAAUUGACGGGGGCCCGCACAAGCGGUGGAGCAUGUGGUUUAAUUCGAUGCAACGCGAAGAACCUUACCUACUCUUGAC